GAGCUCCAGUCCAAAGAGUAGAUUUGAAAUCGUUAGAACAACAUCUACUACAUUGGAGCGUAAAGUGUAAUGGAUUUUGUUACUGUCCAAGGUUCCAGAAACAGUCAGGGAACAGACAGGAUCUGCACCUUGCUAAAUUGACAUGGGAAGUGAAUCGGCGGCUCAAGCUGGAGGAGAUAGAGAGAGAGGUGUGCCGGGAACUACGUCUGGAGCGUUCCUCCAAGAUACCAAUCUCCCACAGAAGCGAGAUUAUGAAAACUGUGGAGUGGGUCCCAUCUCCAGACUCUUAUGGACCAGGUCCAAGUGAGCUCACUUCCCCAUCAGGAGCAUCA